rfam:Dictyostelium purpureum unplaced genomic scaffold DICPTscaffold_254, whole genome shotgun sequence.
ACAACGGCUUUUUUAAAAGCCACUCAAAAUAACAAAUAUUAAUUUAU